ACCUGUAGGACUUGUUCCAAAAGGUGGACAUAUGCAGUGGUGCAUUCGGAGCCGUACUGCAGGGCCUUGCUUUUCACGUCCUCGCUCACUUCUGGAUGGUGUGCCGCUUUCUGAAGAGAGAGAGAAAAUAAAGGAUUCUGGGAAUUUCAAGGAGACCAAAAUAAAUGGCUCCCAGUGGGAUGUCGCUCGGCUCAAAAUAUCAAGUAGAAAAUGUGGACACAUUUAAAAAAAAUCAGCAGUAAUAUUUUACAGCACUUUUCAGGAUAUCAUUGUUAGUAAUACUGUGUGUGUGUGUGUGUGUGUGUGUGUGUGUGU